GCCCGUGUGGCUCAGGGGUUGAGCAUCAAGCUGUGAACCAGGAGGUCACGGUUCGAGUCUGGUCAAGGGCA
rfam:Myotis lucifugus cont2.56630, whole genome shotgun sequence.